rnacentral:rRNA from 1 species
CACGUAGGGUGCGAGCGUUGUCCGGAAUUAUUGGGCGUGAAGAGCUCGUAGGCGGCUCGUCGCGUCGACCGUGAAAACCCGCAGCUUAACUGCGGGCUUGCGGUUGAUACGGGCGGGCUAGAGUUCGGUAGGGGAGACUGGAAUUCCUGGUGUAGCGGUGAAAUGCGCAGAUAUCAGGAGGAACACCGGUGGCGAAGGCGGGUCUCUGGGCCGAUACUGACGCUGAGACGCGAAAGCGUGGGGAGCGAACAGG